CCCUACCUGAGGUCUUCUAAAGAAGAGUUCCUGAUAAAAUCUGGCAUUGUAAUGAUUUGGAGGCAAGGGUUUCUGAAGGAAAUGGACUGCAGCUUCAACAGCUUCAACAAUGACCUAGUCCUUCACAGCGUGCAUGAGAAGUCUGAGAACUUGUUAAUAGUGAUGACCUGGCAAUAUCCUUUCUCUCCUUAUAGAGCUGGCAAACACAUAACUCACUCUUAUGACUUCACUCAUGCUUUUUCCCACUGACUUACA